rnacentral:lncRNA from 1 species
CCCGCCCCGCCCCCAUCCAGGGUCGCCGCACCGUUGCGCCCGAGCUGAUCCCUCCGCCUGGCCCUCACAACGGCCACCUGCCCCCCGACGCGUGCGACCCCCCACGCCUCGGCCUCGGUCCGAUGAUAUUCCAGGAACGGGGAUCCGGUGGUUCCGGUUAGUCGUUUUCUUUCCGGAGGGCGGAAAGGGCGGAGGAAAGUAGUCCCUUCUCGGCGUUUCCGCGGAGGGAUCUCUCCGGGCGGUGGACGCCACAGCCUAUAUAAGGCGGCGCCGGGCGGGGCGCAGUGAGUUCCGUCGAGGCCGUGAGUUCUGUCGCUACUCUACUGCUUGCUGCUGCCGCUGGUGAGCUGACGUCGCGGCGCUCGGGGCUUACUGGCCGUGCGGCCGUGUGGGAGACGGGGCCGCGCUGCCUGCCUCGGGGCCGGCGGCUUGGUGCUUGGCGCUUAGCGCCCCGCCGGACCCGAGGGGACAAGCGGCAAAAUGGCGGCCGCUGCGAAACCUUAACCGGGAGGAGCCGCGCCGCAGAGAGGGGCUGUGAGGCUGGGGCUCGAGCCUGCCGUCAGGGGGCGGAAGGGAAGCGCGGGAGGGCCCUGGCCGCAGCGGGAGGUGGGGGCAGAUGGCCCUGCGGCGGGGUUGGAGAACGCCCGGGCGGGCGUGAAGUGUUUCGGGGCUCGAGUGACUGGAGGGGCUGGUCGUCCGCCCCCGGGGGUGCAGACCGGGAUGAGGUGCCGCGCCGUAGUCCUACUCCUGGGGCGCGCUGCACACCGUCGCGGUCGGGUGACGUCACCCCGUCUGUUCGCUCAUGCGGGGUGGGGCCGCCUGCCCAUGUGGGUGUAGGCGGUGUUUCUCAGUCGCAGGACUCGGGCCGAGGUUAGACCCUGCUGGAUUGACAGAACCCGGCAUCCGGAGGGGGGGGGGUGAGACUUGAGGCCUCUGAGGUUAAAUUGGUCAAGGUUUCCAGGCUGCCUUAGUGCUCCAAGCCAAGGUUUUGAACUAAUUUAUCAGUAGUGCUGCCUGUAUUUCUUGAUGUUGCUAAGGCAAGUUUUUCACUUAAAAAAAAAAAAGUUUCUUGGUAAUGGGAAUUGAAUCUGAAGACGCUCUCCCACCGAACUCCACCCCCAGGACUUCUCAUUCUUUAUUUUUUAGGGGGCUACCGGGGAUUGGACUCGGGGCCCUCAACCUCUGAGCCCCAGCCCUAUUUUGUAUUUUAUUUAGAGACAGAGUCUCACUGAGUUGCUUAGCACCUUGAUUUUGCUGAGACUGGCUUUGAAACUUGCAACUCUCCUGUCUCAGCCUCCAGAGCUGCUGGGAUUUACAUGUCAUUCUUUAUUUUGAGUCAGUUUCCCUAAAUGGUUCAGGUUGGCCUAUGACUUGCCCUCUUCCUCCCAUAGCUUCCCAACUAUCUGGGAUUAAAGGCUUGUGCCACAAGGCCCCUUUUAAUUAUUUGGACAAGUAUACAGCGAUACUGAACUUUCGCCAUUAGCACUGCUAAAAUUCUUGGUUCUUUUUGUUGUUGUUGCCCUUUUGUAACCAGACAAUGCAGAUCUUCGUGAAGACCCUGACUGGCAAGACCAUCACCCUGGAGGUGGAGCCCAGUGACACCAUUGAGAAUGUCAAGGCAAAGAUCCAAGACAAGGAGGGCAUCCCCCCCGACCAGCAGAGGUUGAUCUUUGCGGGCAAGCAGCUGGAAGACGGGCGCACCCUGUCCGACUACAACAUCCAGAAGGAGUCCACCCUGCACCUGGUGCUGCGCUUGAGGGGAGGUGUCUAAGUUUCCCCCUUUUAAGCAUUU